rnacentral:rRNA from 1 species
AUACGAAGGGGGCAAGCGUUGUUCGGAAUAACUGGGCGUAAAGCGCACGUAGGCGGAAUGUUAAGUUAGAGGUGAAAUCCCAGGGCUCAACCCUGGAACUGCCUUUAAUACUGGCAAUCUAGAGACCUAGAGAGGUGAGUGGAAUUCCGAGUGUAGAGGUGAAAUUCGUAGAUAUUCGGAGGAACACCAGUGGCGAAGGCGGCUCACUGGCUCGGUACUGACGCUGAGGUGCGAAAGCGUGGGGAGCAAACAGGAUUAGAAACCCUAGUAGUCC